rnacentral:sRNA from 1 species
CACGGUCAAAUGGAGUAACCGGAAGGUGAAAGACGACCGAUGUAAAAGGAGAGAUACUUCCCAGGGGGAAGCCCCUGAAACUGCCCUCUGAUGCCCUUGCACGGACGCUGCUUGCAUGGCGGGGCGAUAUGCCUAUCCCCGUUUCAUGUGCCGGGGCAAAGCAGAUUAGACGGCAUCCUACACCACAUCUGUACGGAGGUGCGAAUACUUUUUAUGACAAGC